GACGAACGCUGGCGGCGUGCUUAACACAUGCAAGUCGAACGGAGAUAUCUAAGUAGUAAUACGACGAUAUCUUAGUGGCGGACGGGUGAGUAACACGUGGGUAACCUGCCCUAUGGAGGGGAUAACACAAAGAAAUUUGUGCUAAUACCGCAUAACAUAACGAGAUCGCAUGGUUUUGUUAUCAAAGAUUUAUUGCCAUAGGAUGGACCCGCGGCCCAUUAGCUAGUUGGUGAGGUAACGGCUCACCAAGGCGACGAUGGGUAGCCGACCUGAGAGGGUGAACGGCCACAUUGGAACUGAGACACGGUCCAGACUCCUACGGGAGGCAGCAGUGGGGAAUAUUGCACAAUGGGGGAAACCCUGAUGCAGCAACGCCGCGUGAGCGACGAAGGCCUUCGGGUCGUAAAGCUCUGUCUUAGCUGACGAUAAUGACGGUAAGCUAGGAGGAAGCCACGGCUAACUACGUGCCA
rnacentral:rRNA from 1 species